GACGAACGCUGGCGGCGUGCUUAACACAUGCAAGUCGAACGAAGUGGCGAACGGGGGAGUAACGCGUAAUCAACCUGCCCUUCAGAGGGGGAAAACAGUUGGAAACGACUGCUAAUACAGCAUACUGAAGGAGGUGAUUGCGUCUGAUUAGCUAGUUGGCGGGGUAACGGCCCCACAAGGCGAGGAUCAGUAGCCGGUCUGAGAGGAGGGACGGCCACAAUGGGACUGAGACACGGCCCAGACUCCUACGGGAGGCAGCAGUGUGGAAUCUUCCGCAAUGGACGAAAGUCUGACGGAGCAACGCCGCGUGAGUGAUGACGGCCUUCGGGUUGUAAAGCUCUGUUAAUCGGGACGCGGUACCGGAAUAGAAAGCCACGGCUAACUACGUGCCAGCAGCCGCGGUAAUAC
rnacentral:rRNA from 1 species